GACGAACGCUGGCGGCGUGCUUAACACAUGCAAGUCGAACGGAAAGGCCCUGCUUUUGUGCCUUGCUCGAGUGGCGAACGUGUGAGUAACACGUGAGUAACCUGCCCUUGACUUUCGGAUAACUUCAGGAAACUCGGGCUCAUACCGGAUAGGAGCUCCUGCUCCAUGGUGGGCGUUGGAAAGUUUCGGCGGUUCGGGAUGGACUCGCGGCUUAUCAGCUUGUUGGUGUGGUAGUGGCUUACCAAGGCUUUGACGGGUAGCCGGCCUGAGAGGGUGACCGGCCACAUUGGGACUGAGAUACGGCCCAGACUCAUAAGGGAGGCAGCAGUGGGGAAUAUGGCAUAAUGGGCGGAAGCCUGAUGCAGCAACGCAGCGUGCGGGAUGACGGCCUGCGGGUUGUAAACCGCUUUCGCCUGUGACGAAGAGUGAGUGACGGUAAUGGGUAAAGAAGCAACGGCUAACUACGUG
rnacentral:rRNA from 1 species